rnacentral:hammerhead_ribozyme from 1 species
GCACUGCUGAGGAGUCCCACAAUAGGACGAAACGGCCGCGCAGUGC